rnacentral:rRNA from 1 species
AUUGAACGCUGGCGGCAGGCCUAACACAUGCAAGUCGAGCGGAUGAAGAGAGCUUGCUCUCUGAUUCAGCGGCGGACGGGUGAGUAAUGCCUAGGAAUCUGCCUGAUAGUGGGGGACAACAGUUGGAAACGACUGCUAAUACCGCAUACGUCCUACGGGAGAAAGCAGGGGACCUUCGGGCCUUGCGCUAUCAGAUGAGCCUAGGUCGGAUUAGCUAGUUGGUGAGGUAAUGGCUCACCAAGGCGACGAUCCGUAACUGGUCUGAGAGGAUGAUCAGUCACACUGGAACUGAGACACGGUCCAGACUCCUACGGGAGGCAGCAGUGGGGAAUAUUGGACAAUGGGCGAAAGCCUGAUUCAGCCAUGCCGCGUGUGUGAAGAAGGUCUUCGGAUUGUAAAGCACUUUAAGUUGGGAGGAAGGGCAGUAAGUUAAUACCUUGCUGUUUUGACGUUACCGACAGAAUAAGCACCGGCUAACUUCGUGCCAGCAGCCGCAGUAAAAC